ensembl:lncRNA
GCCAGUUAACAGGAUUACAGUAAUCUGGCAAGGACACUUACUUUCCGUCUCCUUUAUGGCCAGUAGUGUGACUAGACUCUGCCACCAUUAAGGCAGUCCAUGGUGCAUUUUAGACACAAGAUAUAUGUGACCUAUGCAAGUAGCAUGUUUUAAGCACUGGAAAAUGUGCCCUCAAUAGACACUGUAAAAAAAAAAAUGUUGGUCCACUUUAGACUUUCUAACUAUAACUUUGCAAGAAACUUUCUACCUGCCUUAUCAUGGCCACGAAGUCCGCCAUUAAUCUGUUUAUGUUCUCUGUAUUGUUUCUGAUUCUGGAUAUCCUUUGACAUACUUGACGCUGUUCUCUGAUUAAUGCCUGUCUGACCAUUCUCUAAAUAAAUAUACUGCAAAGCGGAUCUGAACAUCUCUGACUCUGCAUCACAGUCUACAUACUUUUUUUAAAAUCUUUUUUUAUUUUCUGUCUUUUCUAUUUAGAGAUAAUUUGACCUUGAAUAAGACUUAUGAUAUGGACUGACAGUGACACUAUAUUUUACACAUCAACGCAGACAUUUACAGACAAUACAGUAUUUGAGGGUGGGAGCCAAACAGACCUUCAGUCCUGAAAAUGUCUUUGAUAUCUGGUCCUCUGGUAAAACCCUUUCUAUUAAGCUAGUUGUUUUGACAUUGUUUGGCAUGCUGUAAGCCCCUCAGAGCAAGAACAGUGCAUGGGUCACACUUACAUAAGCCGCUGACUCAAUCCAGUUUUUCCUUUUUUAGUGUCACUGUUUGUGUCUCCGGGCGAGUGGUCUGGUAUUAAUGCAUGAAUUUCUGUGUUUGUUUUAUGAAAGUCUUGGAGGUAUUCAUAGUAAUUGCAGUGUAGUUUCUCUUUGUAUAUCCUAUCCUUUUAAAGUAAAAAAAAAAAAAUUAUUUGUCUUAUAUUGUACAUUGCAACACCUCUUUUCAUCCUCUGCCUGAAAUGUCCUGGUUUAGAUCCCUUUCUUUAUAAAGCCCCCAUUCCAAAAUGCCCGGUCUCUGAAUGGUCAGUUGUGGCCCUGUCUGUUGUGAUUGGUCAACUGCUUAGAGUGUGUGGGAAAUGUAAUGCUACGGCCACACAUACUGUACACAGGGGCACAAAAAUGGGGUAUGCAGUAUAAUAUUUGCGGUGCAUGGGGCACCGCAUGAGAGUAAGGAGGCAUUUUACAUAUAAAACUGAAAAAUACAACACACAAAAAUUGUCACAGUGUCUGGUCUGUGUAUCCCUGGGUGUCCACUAGAGGUCUCACUUCCCAUUAUCGUCACCCCACUUCAGUACUACAUUUCCCACUAGCCUUAUCUGUUCAUCACUGUUUAUUGUAUUCAGCUGUCACCACUUACCUUGUUUGCACCUGUCUAUAAAUACCCUGGUUGUUUCUGUCAUUGUUACGGAGUCCUUGUGCAAUGUCACCCUGCUUUUCGUGUUUCCAUUCUGUUGUUUAUGUUUCUUGUUUUUGGACUGCUCACCUGGAUUUUGACCUUUGCCUGGCUGGAUUAUGAGUUUGGAUUAUUCUUAAUAAACACUGCAUUUGGAUCUACCUGUCUGUGUGCGUUUCGUGACAGAAGGACUCCGUCAAACCUAGAUCCAGCAGUAUGUUUUUUGAGGUUUCUCCCCCUGCCAUCGAGCGGGAGAGAAGGAGUGGGUUCGAGGGAACCCGCCUGGUCGUUUUUCGUGGGACCCGGGGAGGUCGCAGAGGAGUGAGUGGUCGAGAGGAGGUCCGGCAUCGCUCUCCACCAGGGCCCCCCUUCGACCCUGGGCUCGUGAGGGACGGAUCGGAACUGCCGUAUCUCCAUCACGGACAGAGAAGGGGGAGGAAGCACACGUCUGUCGUUCCUGAGACCGUUCACGUUACGUCUGCCGAGCCUGUGUCUUCGGACAAGACGGCCGCGGAAACAUUCUUGGACUAUUUUUCUGUGCUGUCCAAGAUCCUAGAGAUUCCCAACAGUGUUCAUGUCACGGCUGCUGAGCCAGCACCACAGUCCAGGAUGGUAGCCAACCCAGCGCCACAGCACAAGAUGGCCGCCAGCUCAGCGUGCCCAGCGCCACAGCACAAGAUGGCCGCCAGCCCAGCACCACAGCACAAGAUGGCCGCCAGCCCAGUGCCAUUGCACAGGAUGGCCGCCAGCUCAGCGUGCCCAGCGCCACAGCACAAGAUGGCCGCCAGCCCAGCACCACAGCACAAGAUGGUUGACUCAACGCCUGAGUCUUCCGUCAAGGAGCCACCGGCACGCCAUCAUAGAGGCCGCAGGAGGAGGAGACAGGCGUCAGCCGUUCCUCAAAGCCCGGAGGACGUUCCCGAGCAGGCCGCUGCCGUCCAGGAGGACGUUCCCGAGCAGGCCGCUGCCGUCCAGGAGGACGUUCCCGAGCAGGCCGCUGCCGUCCAGGAGGACGUUCCCGAGCAGGCCGCUGCCGUCCAGGAGGACGUUCCCGAGCAGGCCGCUGUCGUCCAGGUGGACGUGCCCAAGGUUCUGGAGGUCGAGGCGGUGCCCGAUGCUGUUCUGGAGGUCGAGGCGGUGCCCGAUGCCGUUCCGGAGGCCGAGGUGGUGCCCGAUGCCGUUCCGGAGGUCGAGGCGGUGCCCGAGGUCGAGGCGGAGGUCGAGGCGGUGGCCGAGGCGGUGCCCGAUGCCGAGGCGGUGACCGAUGCUGUUCCGCAGGUCGAGGCGGUGCCCGAUGCCGAGGCAGUGACCGAUGCUGUUCCGGAGGUCGAGGCGGUGCCCGAUGCCAUUCCGGAGGUCGAGAUGGUUCCGGAGGUCGAGAUGGUUCCUGAGGCCGAGGCGGUGGCCGAUGUCCAAAGCCGUUCCCGAGGCGGUGUCCAAUGCCGUGACCUGGCCAUCGCCACAGUCUGCUCCUCACUGGCUCUCCGAAUGGCAGGUUCCGUUCGGGCCACUCAAAUGGCGAAUUCCUCCCUGGCCAUCUGCACAACGAGAAUGGACUGAUCCACCGUGGCCACCUGAACUGCCUGGCCCCUCGUGGUCCCCUGAACUUUCGGGUCCACCGUGGCCCUCUGAUCUGACCGAGCCACCUUGGCUGCCAGGGGAGCCAUCGCUGCCGGUCCCAGUUCCCCUACACGGGCCUGGCCCGCCAUCCCUCCCCCUGUUCUGCCUCCACCAGUCCACCUCCCUCCUGGUCUCGUUGUUUUGUUUUGGUUGUUGUGUUCUGGGGAGCAUCUGGAAGCUGCUCCUUAGAGGGGGGCUAAUGUCACAGUGUCUGGUCUGUGUAUCCCUGGGUGUCCACUAGAGGUCUCACUUCCCAUUAUCGUCACCCCACUUCAGUACUACAUUUCCCACUAGCCUUAUCUGUUCAUCACUGUUUAUUGUAUUCAGCUGUCACCACUUACCUUGUUUGCACCUGUCUAUAAAUACCCUGGUUGUUUCUGUCAUUGUUACGGAGUCCUUGUGCAAUGUCACCCUGCUUUUCGUGUUUCCAUUCUGUUGUUUAUGUUUCUUGUUUUUGGACUGCUC